CCUACGGGAGGCAGCAGUGAGGAAUAUUGGUCAAUGGGCUUACGCCUGAACCAGCCAAGUCGCGUGAGGGAAGACUGCCCUAUGGGUUGUAAACCUCUUUUGUCAGGGAGCAAUUGGCGCUACGUGUAGCGUUCUCGAGAGUACCUGAAGACAAAGCAUCAGCUAACUCCGUGCCAGCAGCCGCGGUAAUACGGAGGAUGCGAGCGUUAUCCGUGUUUAGUGUGUUUAAAGGGUGCGUAGGCGGACUGCCAAGUCAGCGGUAAAAUCGCGGGGCUCAACCUCGCUCCGCCGUUGAAACUGGCGUUCUUGAGUGGGCGAGAAGUAUGCGGAAUGCGUGGUGUAGCGGUGAAAUGCAUAGAUAUCAUACAGAACACCGAUUGCGAAGGCAGCUUACCAAACUAUAUCUGACGUUGAGGCACGAAAGCGUGGGUAGCAAACAGGAUUAGAUACCCGAGUAGUC
rnacentral:rRNA from 1 species